AGCUCAAAUUUGUAAUCUGGCACCUUCGGUGUCCGAGUUGUAAUCUCUAGAAGUGUUUUCCGCGUUGGACCGCACACAAGUCUGUUGGAAUACAGCGGCAUAGUGGUGAUACCCCAUUACACGGUGCGGACGCCCAGCGCUUUGUGAUACACUUUCGACGAGUCGAGUUGUUUGGGAAUGCAGCUCAAAUUGGGUGGUAAAUUCCAUCUAAAGCUAAAUAUUGGCGAGAGACCGAUAGCGAACAAGUACCGUGAGGGAAAGAUGAAAAGCACUUUGGAAAGAGAGUUAAAAGUACGUGAAAUUGUUGGAAGGGAAACGCUUGAAGUCAGACUUGCUUGCCGGGCUUGCUCGGUUUGCAGGCCAGCAUCAGUUUUCCGGGGCGGAUAAUGGCAGUUAGAAUGUAGCAGUCUCGGCUGUGUUAUAGCUUUCUGCUGGAUACGUCCUGGGGGACUGAGGAACGCAGCGUGCCGUAUGGCGAGGGCUUCGGUCCUUUCACGCUUAGGAUGCUGGUGGAAUGGCUUUAAACGACCCGUCUUGA
rnacentral:rRNA from 1 species